UGAGGAAUAUUGCGCAAUGGGGGCAACCCUGACGCAGCAACGCCGCGUGAGUGAGGAAGGUUUUCGGACCGUAAAGCUCUGUCGAGCGGGAAGAAAUGCAUGGUGGCUAAUAUCCAUCAUGCCUGACGGUACCGCUAAAGGAAGCACCGGCUAACUCCGUGCCAGCAGCCGCGGUAAUACGGGGGGUGCGAGCGUUGUUCGGAAUUAUUGGGCGUAAAAAGCGUGUAGGCGGCCGAAUAAGUCAGAUGUGAAAUCCCUGGGCUUAACCCAGGACGUGCAUUUGAAACUAUUCGGCUAGAGUAGGGGAGAGGAAAGUGGAAUUCCUGGUGUAGAGGUGAAAUUCGUAGAUAUCAGGAGGAACACCGGUGGCGAAGGCGACUUUCUGGCACUAUACUGACGCUGAGACGCGAGAGCGUGGGUAGCAAACAG
rnacentral:rRNA from 1 species